UAUACAUGCAGUCGAGCGGACAGAUGGGAGCUUGCUCCCUGAAGUUAGCGGCGGACGGGUGAGUAACACGUGGGCAACCUGCCCUGCAGAUGGGGAUAACUCCGGGAAACCGGGGCUAAUACCGAAUAAUCAGUUCCUCCGCAUGGAGGAACUCUGAAAGACGGUUUCGGCUGUCACUGCAGGAUGGGCCCGCGGCGCAUUAGCUAGUUGGUGGGGUAACGGCCUACCAAGGCGACGAUGCGUAGCCGACCUGAGAGGGUGAUCGGCCACACUGGGACUGAGACACGGCCCAGACUCCUACGGGAGGCAGCAGUAGGGAAUCUUCCACAAUGGACGAAAGUNUGAUGGAGCAACGCCGCGUGAGCGAAGAAGGUUUUCGGAUCGUAAAGCUCUGUUGCGAGGGAAGAACACGUACGAGAGUAACUGCUCGUACCUUGACGGUACCUCGUCAGAAAGCCACGGCUAACUACGUGCCAGCAGCCGCGGUAAUACGUAGGUGGCAAGCGUUGUCCGGAAUUAUUGGGCGUAAAGCGCGCGCAGGCGGUCCUUUAAGUCUGAUGUGAAAGCCCACGGCUCAACCGUGGAGGGUCAUUGGAAACUGGAGGACUUGAGUGCAGAAGAGGAAAGCGGAAUUCCACGUGUAGCGGUGAAAUGCGUAGAGAUGUGGAGGAACACCAGUGGCGAANGCGGC
rnacentral:rRNA from 1 species